rnacentral:rRNA from 2 species
CAAGAGUUUGGAUCAUGGCUCAGGAACGAACGCUGGCGGCGUGCAUAAUACAUGCAAGUCGAGCGGACAGAAGGGAGCUUGCUCCCCGGAUGUUAGCGGCGGACGGGUGAGUAACACGUGGGUAACCUGCCUGUAAGACUGGGAUAACUCCGGGAAACCGGAGCUAAUACCGGAUAGUUCCUUGAACCGCAUGGUUCAAGGAUGAAAGACGGUUUCGGCUGUCACUUACAGAUGGACCCGCGGCGCAUUAGCUAGUUGGUGAGGUAACGGCUCACCAAGGCGACGAUGCGUAGCCGACCUGAGAGGGUGAUCGGCCACACUGGGACUGAGACACGGCCCAGACUCCUACGGGAGGCAGCAGUAGGGAAUCUUCCGCAAUGGACGAAAGUCUGACGGAGCAACGCCGCGUGAGUGAUGAAGGUUUUCGGAUCGUAAAGCUCUGUUGUUAGGGAAGAACAAGUGCAAGAGUAACUGCUUGCACCUUGACGGUACCUAACCAGAAAGCCACGGCUAACUACGUGCCAGCAGCCGCGGUAAUACGUAGGUGGCAAGCGUUGUCCGGAAUUAUUGGGCGUAAAGGGCUCGCAGGCGGUUUCUUAAGUCUGAUGUGAAAGCCCCCGGCUCAACCGGGGAGGGUCAUUGGAAACUGGGAAACUGAGUGCAGAAGAGAGAAC